UGAUUCAUGACUGGGGUGAAGUCGUAACAAGGUAACCGUAGGGGAACCUGCGGUUGGAUCACCUCCUUACCUAAAA
rnacentral:rRNA from 1 species